AUUUUAGCUAAUGGGCUUUCUAACAAUACAGAAAAUCCAAAUGAUUGAUUCAGGAAGCAGCCGCAAGGUAUUAACCAAUUAGGAUAUGAAUUUACAUUCUUUGUGCAGGCAAGCCCUAACAUUUGGGCAGUCUGCACGGGUGGUGAUCCUUGGGUUCUCUGGCCGGGGUGUUUUUCCUACUUCGCUGGGUGAACCUGACCGACCUGCAAAACUAGGAAGUUUAGAAAUUGGAUUAGUGGCUCGUUAUUUCAAUGUAAAUUUGUUUACAUUCGUCCGUUGUUUAGGUCUUGUUAGGAACAUGGGUCCCUCCAUUGUUUUUUUUCUUAUUAAAGUAAAAAUGCUUUCAGCUGC
rnacentral:lncRNA from 1 species